AUGAACGCUAGCUACAGGCUUAACACAUGCAAGUCGAGGGGCAUCAGGGUGUAGCAAUACACCGCUGGCGACCGGCGCACGGGUGAGUAACACGUAUCCAACCUGCCCUUUACUCGGGGAUAGCCUUUCGAAAGAAAGAUUAAUACCCGAUGGCAUAACAUGACCUCCUGGUUUUGUUAUUAAAGAAUUUCGGUAGAGGAUGGGGAUGCGUUCCAUUAGGCAGUUGGCGGGGUAACGGCCCACCAAACCUUCGAUGGAUAGGGGUUCUGAGAGGAAGGUCCCCCACAUUGGAACUGAGACACGGUCCAAACUCCUACGGGAGGCAGCAGUGAGGAAUAUUGGUCAAUGGGCGAGAGCCUGAACCAGCCAAGUAGCGUGAAGGAUGACCGCCCUAUGGGUUGUAAACUUCUUUUAUAUGGGAAUAAAGGGUGCCACGUGUGGCAUUUUGUAUGUACCAUAUGAAUAAGGAUCGGCUAACUCCGUGCCAGCAGCCGCGGUAAUACGGAGGAUCCGAGCGUUAUCCGGAUUUAUUGGGUUUAAAGGGAGCGUAGGUGGACAUGUAAGUCAGUUGUGAAAGUUUGCGGCUCAACCGUAAAAUUGCAGUUGAUACUGCGUGUCUUGAGUACAGUAGAGGUGGGCGGAAUUCGUGGUGUAGCGGUGAAAUGCUUAGAUAUCACGAAGAACUCCGAUUGCGAAGGCAGCUCACUGGACUGCAACUGACACUGAUGCUCGAAAGUGUGGGUAUCAAACAGGAUUAGAUACCCUGGUAGUCCACACAGUAAACGAUGAAUACUCGCUGUUUGCGAUAUACAGUAAGCGGCCAAGCGAAAGCAUUAAGUAUUCCACCUGGGGAGUACGCCGGCAACGGUGAAACUCAAAGGAAUUGACGGGGGCCCGCACAAGCGGAGGAACAUGUGGUUUAAUUCGAUGAUACGCGAGGAACCUUACCCGGGCUUAAAUUGCAACUGACGGAAUCGGAAACGGUUCUUUCUUCGGACAGUUGUGAAGGUGCUGCAUGGUUGUCGUCAGCUCGUGCCGUGAGGUGUCGGCUUAAGUGCCAUAACGAGCGCAACCCUUAUCUUCAGUUACUAACAGGUCAUGCUGAGGACUCUGGAGAGACUGCCGUCGUAAGAUGUGAGGAAGGUGGGGAUGACGUCAAAUCAGCACGGCCCUUACGUCCGGGGCUACACACGUGUUACAAUGGGGGGUACAGAAGGCCGCUACACAGCGAUGUGAUGCCAAUCCCUAAAGCCCCUCUCAGUUCGGAUCGAAGUCUGCAACCCGACUUCGUGAAGCUGGAUUCGCUAGUAAUCGCGCAUCAGCCACGGCGCGGUGAAUACGUUCCCGGGCCUUGUACACACCGCCCGUCAAGCCAUGGGAGCCGGGGGUACCUGAAGUACGUAACCGCAAGGAGCGUCCUAGGGUAAAACUGGUGACUGGGGCU
rnacentral:rRNA from 1 species